CUAACGGAGAGUUUGAUCCUGGCUCAGGACGAACGCUGGCGGCGUGCUUAACACAUGCAAGUCGAACGAGGAACAGGAGCUGCUUGCAGCACCUGGAUUCGAGUGGCGAACGGGUGAGUAACACGUGACCAAUCUGCCUUCAGGAGGGGGACAACCCGGGGAAACCUGGGCUAAUACCGCGUAAUGUGCUUUCGUCGCAUGACGGCUGCACCAAAGAUGGCCUCUUUACAAUGCUAUCGCCUGGAGAGGGGGUCGCGACGUAUCAGCUUGUUGGUGAGGUAACGGCUCACCAAGGCUACGACGCGUAGCGGGUCUGAGAGGACGACCCGUCACAUUGGGACUGAGAUACGGCCCAGACUCCUACGGGAGGCAGCAGUGGGGAAUAUUGCGCAAUGGCCGAAAGGCUGACGCAGCGACGCCGCGUGUGGGAGGAAGCCCUUCGGGGUGUAAACCACUGUCAGGGGGGAAGAACCCCGUCCAUGAGAACAUUGUGGGCGGCUGACGGUACCCCCAAAGGAAGCACCGGCUAACUCCGUGCCAGCAGCCGCGGUAAUACGGAGGGUGCAAGCGUUGUUCGGAAUUACUGGGCGUAAAGCGCGGGCAGGCGGUUCGUUAAGUCCCCUGUGAAACUCCGAAGCUCAACUUCGGACAUGCAGGAGAUACUGGCGAGCUAGAGAUCGGUAGAGGCAGGCGGAAUUCCUGGUGUAGCGGUGGAAUGCGUAGAUAUCAGGAAGAACACCUGUGG
rnacentral:rRNA from 1 species